ACCUAGCUGACGAGUCCCAAAUAGAACGAAACGAAUGUCUUGAAU
rnacentral:hammerhead_ribozyme from 1 species